AGCGGCGGACGGGUGAGUAACACGUGGGCAACCUGCCCUGCAGAUCGGGAUAACUCCGGGAAACCGGUGCUAAUACCGAAUAGUUUACAACCUCUCCUGAGGUUGUACGGAAAGACGGUUUCGGCUGUCACUGCAGGAUGGGCCCGCGGCGCAUUAGCUAGUUGGUGGGGUAACGGCCCACCAAGGCGACGAUGCGUAGCCGACCUGAGAGGGUGAUCGGCCACACUGGGACUGAGACACGGCCCAGACUCCUACGGGAGGCAGCAGUAGGGAAUCUUCCGCAAUGGACGCAAGUCUGACGGAGCAACGCCGCGUGAGUGACGAAGGUUUUCGGAUCGUAAAACUCUGUUGUGAGGGAAGAA
rnacentral:rRNA from 1 species